GAUGAACGCUGGCGGCGUGCCUAAUACAUGCAAGUCGAGCGAACAGACGAGGAGCUUGCUCCUCUGAUGUUAGCGGCGGACGGGUGAGUAACACGUGGAUAACCUACCUAUAAGACUGGGAUAACUUCGAGAAACCGGAGCUAAUACCGAAUAACAUGUUGAACCGCAUAGUUCAACAGUGAAGGACGGUCUUCGUGUGACUUAUAGAUGGAUCCGCGCCGCAUUAGCUAGUUGGUAAGGUAAGGGCUUACCAAGGCAACGAUGCGUAGCCGACCUGAGAGGGUGAUCGGCCACACUGGGACUGAGACACGGUCCAGACUCCUACGGGAGGCAGCAGUAGGGAAUCUUCCGCAAUGGGCGAAAGCCUGACGGAGCAACGCCGCGUGAGUGAAGAAGGUCUUCGGAUCGUAAAACUCUGUUAUUAGGGAAGAACAAAUGUGUAAGUAACUAUGAACGUCUUGACGGUACCUAAUCAGAAAGCCACGGCUAACUACGUG
rnacentral:rRNA from 1 species